AUUGAACGCUGGCGGCAGGCCUAACACAUGCAAGUCGAGCGAGCGGCGGACGGGUGAGUAAUGUAUGGGUAUCUGCCCGAUAGAGGGGGAUAACUACUGGAAACGGUGGAUAAUACCGCAUACUAUCGGAUGAACCCAUAGGGGAGUAGCUAGUAUGUGGGGGAAAUGCCCACCUAGGCGACGAUCUCUAGCUGGUAUGAGAGGAUGAUCAGCCAGACUGGAACUGAGAACCGGCCCAGACUCCUACGGGAGGGAGCAGUGGGUAAGAUUGCACAAUGGGCGAAAGCCUGAUGCAGCCAUGCCGCGUGUAUGAAGAAGGCCUUAGGGUUGUAAAGUACUUUCAGCGGGGAGGCGUUACUCGCAGAAGAAGCACCGGCUAACUCCGUGCCAGCCGCCGCGGUAAUUC
rnacentral:rRNA from 1 species